rnacentral:rRNA from 1 species
AUUGAACGCUGGCGGAAUGCUUUACACAUGCAAGUCGAACGGCAGCACGGAGAGCUUGCUCUCUGGUGGCGAGUGGCGAACGGGUGAGUAAUAUAUCGGAACGUGUCCAAUAAUGGGGGAUAACGAGUCGAAAGAUUCGCUAAUACCGCAUACGCCCUACGGGGGAAAGCAGGGGAUCGUAAGACCUUGCGUUAAUGGAGCGGCCGAUAUCUGAUUAGCUAGUUGGUGAGGUAAAGGCUCACCAAGGCGACGAUCAGUAGCUGGUUUGAGAGAACGACCAGCCACACUGGAACUGAGACACGGUCCAGACUCCUACGGGAGGCAGCAGUGGGGAAUUUUGGACAAUGGGGGCAACCCUGAUCCAGCCAUUCCGCGUGAGUGAAGAAGGCCUUCGGGUUGUAAAGCUCUUUCGCAAGGGAAGAAAACUUAUGAUCGAAUAAAUCAUGAGGUUGACGGUACCUUGAUAAGAAGCACCGGCUAACUACGUGCCAGCCGCCGCGGUAA